GCCUGGCUGGCUCAGUUGGUAGAGCAUGCAACUCUUGAUCUCAGGGUCAUGAGUUCAAGCCCCAUGUUGGACA
rnacentral:tRNA from 1 species